GGCUACCCCACCAUUGUCAGGCAUCCCGAGCGCGUUCCCGAAGUCGGAAUCGGCAAAGGUAAGCCGGGACAGCCUUCUUCCUCCGUCCAGCCGCCUCAGUGACCACCGUCAAGUCUGCUACAGGAGGAUUUUAUUUUUGGUUAACUUGCUUUUCUCCUUCGCAGGUUAUUUAUCAAUAAUUGUGUAAUUUUAUUUACUCCUAGAAUUUUCGCAUGUGUUAGAAGUAUUUAUUUGAUUAUGGUCUGUAAUAUUAUUAUCAUGUUGGACCUGUAAACGUAUAAUGAUAUGUAUGUUUGAUGGAUUGGAUGAGGGAGCUGAGCUCCCAUUUAUUUUUAUGAGGAUAUGAGUAUGUGGAGGGUGAGCUGAGCUCCCCAAUUGAGUA